rnacentral:lncRNA from 1 species
UCACUCUCGUUCUCUCUCUUCAAAAGCAAAGCCAAAUUUGCUCUGUAACUCUUCCUUCUUGCUCCGCCACACGCCAUGGCCACCACUUGCCGGAGAAGACGGUGGAGAUCGACCGACCGCGGCGACGCCGCCUUCUUCUCCGGCGACCUCCAACCCUAACCCUAAACAUCCAAACACAUACCCCACCUCAUUUUUGCUUCUAAAUCCAAAUCCAACCUUGUUUCUCCCAAAAUCUUCAUCAAAUGGCCGGAUCGGCACCAAAAGAAAAAAUAAAAACCUAAACCCUAACUCAAACUCUCUCUCUCUCUCUCUCUCUCUCUCUCUCUCUCUCUCUCUCUCUCUCUCUCGCGCGCGCGCGCGGCCAAACGAAUCCCUAGUUCGUUCCAAACCCAAAUAAAUCUAAACACGAUCCUACCAACAGUUGAAAACCCUAAACCUAAACCUGAAAUCAAACCUUUUAUAGUCAUGCUUGGAAGAAAUUAAUAUGGGGGUUUCAAUCAGCAUGGAGAGACGACGACGAUAGUCCAAAGAUUUGAACGAGAAUGGAAAAAAUUAUUUGGUUGAGGUUGAUCGCAGGCGACGCUUCCCUGUUGUAUUCGAGAUAAGUCAUUUCGUCCUCUUCUUCGUCUUCCUCUUUCUUUGGUCUGGAUGCUAUUGUUCUGUUUUCGUUCUUUUGAUUUCCAAAAAAAUGUUUGUUUUCUUGUUUAGGUUUUGAUGUUAGAAAAAUAUUUUUGAUAACUUCUCUUUGGAUUCUCCCAAAACGUUUGUGUUACUGUUAAUUUGUUGUUGUUAUAUAUAUGAUGAAUGCUUAGGUUCUUGAGAUAACUUGUUAAGUUAUCUUUUUUCCAGAUUUUAUGGGAUGAUUGUUUUGUGGAUUUAGAGUUGUCUGGAUUGGAUAAUGGAAUGUGUUCUUGGGCGUUUACUUUGGUUCACUAUGCAAAAUAUCAAUAUGUUCAUUUUAUCAAUUGUUUUUCAGUUUUUCAUGAGUGCUUAUUUGAUAAGCCCUUUUAAUCCUUGAGUUGGUUUUGCAGGUUUGUAAAAGGUGAAUAGAUGUUGAUUGAAAGGGGGCAUGCGCCUGUUUUGGGAAAAUGGAUUUGGGGCGCUGCAAUUUCAACAAAAGUUCUGGAAAAGCCUUUGCAAGUUUGCUGCUUCAAACUGCUGUAUUUACAGCUUAUUCUACUUUUUUUCAAAUUUCUUUUAAAAGUUAUUUCUGAUGUAACAGAACUUUUGGAUAAAGUGUUGUGUAACUUUUGGACUAUGUAAAAUCUUGUAAGCCUUUGAAUUAUUUGUAACAUCUUUAGACUUUUUAAAAUUUAAUUGAUCAAUUAAUCUCUUUUUUUUAAAA